GGGUGUCUUGGGUGGCUAGCGAGUUUACUUUGAAAAAAUUAGAGUGCUUAACACAGGCUAACGCCUGAAUACUCGUGCAUGGAAUAAUAGAAUAAGACCACGGNUCUAAGGAANUCACAUUGCGUGGCNCCCUUCUGGCCGGGAUGCCUGGUCUAUCCUCAUUUCACCAUCCCCCCCCGCCCCCUGU
rnacentral:rRNA from 1 species